GUUGAGAGUACACACAUAAACUUUUAAGCAGCAGUUUUUGAGACAUUGAGACUUUUCAUAUAUCUUGUAAGAACUAUUGAGUCCCCUUUCAGGAUUUCCACAAUGGACCGACUUAGUGAGGAUCUGAGAGCAGCCCUGAGUAAAACCAUAGCAUAUGAGCUGGAACUGGUUCUUGCUGAAAUGGCCGAGGAGGCACAGUACAAGGAGCAAGCCAUGAGGGUGACUCUGGAGAAGCUUCUACAGGACAUCACAGAGCUUGAGGACUCCGGGGAGACAGAGAAACAGGAGUGGCAAAGAGAGAGA